rnacentral:lncRNA from 1 species
GUUACCGACACCCAGAACGUCAGCAUCCCCGUUCGUGCUGCAGGAAUAUAUUUUUCCCUGUGAAUUACCAAUAUUCCAGCUUUAUAGAGGAACAUGAGGGGCGCCUCCAGCUCCAGUCCCACCUGCACUCAGCCGAGAGCACCAUCCUCCUCCCAUCGUAGAGAAAUACGCAGUAACAGAAAUGGUUAAGUCCUUCGGUACCACCACCUGAUGAAACAUCACGCAGCCACAUAAUGUGACAACCCUUCACGUCACCUCCAGAAGCACUCCCUGAUAGACCCCAACUCCAUCUGGGUACUGGGGCUGCAAACGGGGAAGGACACAGCCCCUGCCCUCAAGGAGGUUCCAGGUAACUGUCCCAUCUGCAUGUCUCUGAAGGGCAGAGAGUCAAUUCCAUUCUAUUCAACCAACAGAAAACAAAUCCAUGGCUCCUGCCCCAAAGCCUUCCCUUCCUUCUCAUUUUCUGCUGGCCAAUCCCCCAACACAGAGGAUAUUUUUAGCACCUGGGAGGAAGUGUUCACAUGAAGGCCAUUGAGCAACAUGGAGGCAUGGCCCUGGGAUGUCCCAUGCAAGACAGUGCUUACCAAAUGUAUUUCAGACAGGCUGGCUUUGGUUCUCGUCCACACUCUUCUUCCUUCUCCCCAUUAUCCAGAUCAGAAAGGGUGGUUGGCUAUUUUGCCAGGUGCGGUUGCUUAACUUAACCUGAGGCAUGCGCAUCAUAAACAGCUCUUCCAGCGAGCAUACAGGCGGAGCUGAGAGCAGUUCAGGAACAGUGGCUACUCCCAAAGUGAAAGGACCGUGAGCUCCCAGGCAUGGGAUCCCCCCCAUUUCCAGUUCUUCAGAAGCUGGAGGCAGAAGUCACAAGAAGUGUGGAAGGCUGAUGGAUACCCCAGAGAACUGAAGAAGAGAGAAAUAAUCCCCCAGGGGGCCCAAGCCUGCAUCUAGCCCAGCUGAGCGGUCAGCUAGCUGGACAUCAUGUUUAUCAACCCAGCAGCUGGGGCUGGUUCUGUGUGGCCAAGACAGGCAGUCAAUUGUGCCUGCCUUCAUAUAUCCAUUCUUGGCUCUGCGGAUGCAGAGCUGGACCUGGCACAGGAGCACGGUGAUAAGGCCGGGGUCCUGGGUGGGGCCCAGGUCACGGUGAGCUUUGUCCAUCCUGCUGUGGAAUCUGGACUCUGUCCUGGGGCCAGGAGUGACAUGGACACUGAAAAGAGAAAGGACAUGACUGGAUGCCCUUGGGGAACAAAGGUUAUUAGUAAAUGUCCAAAUGCUCAUCAUCCAGGCAUGACUGGAAUAAAGAGUAGUCAUUUGAGGUUGACUCAAUCUAUGGGCUUGGCUUCCAGAAGCACAAAGGAAAUUUCCAUGCUUCUGGUGGUCUGGUGGCCCCCCCAUGCAUGUCAUCAAGGCCUCCAGUCUUGGCCGCAGUGGUUAUUCCAGAACGUUCGUCCUGCCAUGGAAGAAAUGGUUAUUCUGGAACGUUCGUCCUGCCAUGGAAGAAAUGUCUCGGCUGCAGCCAGACACCUGCCCCGAGCUGAGGGGGAAGCGGAGCUGUGUGACAGCUCAUCCAUGGCCCGCCAGUGUGGCUUAGCUAGGAAUAACAACACGGGUGACGUGUCACAUUGACUAUGGGCCAGGCACCGGGCCCGGCUUUGUGCGCAGCGUUUCACCCUGACAGGCCCUCGCAGGUGGGGGGCUGUCUCCCUUACAGCUGGGAAUCCGGGUGGCAGAGCUGGAGAGAUGCAGAUGGAGAAGCCUCCAGGCCCUUCUCAGGCCAAGACCUAUUCUGGUG